rnacentral:rRNA from 1 species
UACGUAGGGUGCGAGCGUUGUCCGGAAUUAUUGGGCGUAAAGGGCUCGUAGGCGGUUUGUCGCGUCGGGAGUGAAAACUCAGGGCUUAACCCUGAGCCUGCUUCCGAUACGGGCAGACUAGAGGUAUGCAGGGGAGAAUGGAAUUCCUGGUGUAGCGGUGAAAUGCGCAGAUAUCAGGAGGAACACCGAUGGCGAAGGCAGGUCUCUGGGCAUUAACUGACGCUGAGGAGCGAAAGCAUGGGGAGCGAACAGG